AAGGCAGCUCACUGGACUGCAACUGACACUGAUGCUCGAAAGUGUGGGUAUCAAACAGGAUUAGAUACCCUGGUAGUCCACACAGUAAACGAUGAAUACUCGCUGUUUGCGAUAUACAGUAAGCGGCCAAGCGAAAGCAUUAAGUAUUCCACCUGGGGAGUACGCCGGCAACGGUGAAACUCAAAGGAAUUGACGGGGGCCCGCACAAGCGGAGGAACAUGUAGUUUAAUUCGAUGAUACGCGAGGAACCUUACCCGGGCUUAAAUUGCAGUGGAAUGAUGUGGAAACAUGUCAGUGAGCAAUCACCGCUGUGAAGGUGCUGCAUGGUUGUCGUCAGCUCGUGCCGUGAGGUGUCGGCUUAAGUGCCAUAACGAGCGCAACCCUUAUCUUUAGUUACUAACAGGUCAUGCUGAGGACUCUAGAGAGACUGCCGUCGUAAGAUGUGAGGAAGGUGGGGAUGACGUCAAAUCAGCACGGCCCUCACGUCCGGGGCUACACACGUGUUACAAUGGGGGGUACAGAAGGCAGCUAGCGGGUGACCGUAUGCUAAUCCCAAAAGCCUCUCUCAGUUCGGAUCGAAGUCUGCAACCCGACUUCGUGAAGCUGGAUUCGCUAGUAAUCGCGCAUCUGCCCCGGCGCGGUGGCUGCGUUCCCGGG
rnacentral:rRNA from 1 species